rnacentral:rRNA from 1 species
GACGAACGCUGGCGGCGUGCCUAAUACAUGCAAGUAGAACGCACAGUUUAUACCAUAGCUUGCUACACCAUAGACUGUGAGUUGCGAACGGGUGAGUAACGCGUAGGUAACCUGCCUGGUAGCGGGGGAUAACUAUUGGAAACGAUAGCUAAUACCGCAUAAUAUUGAUUAUUGCAUGAUAAUUAAUUGAAAGGUGCAAUUGCACCACUACCAGAUGGACCUGCGUUGUAUUAGCUAGUAGGUGAGGUAACGGCUCACCUAGGCGACGAUACAUAGCCGACCUGAGAGGGUGAUCGGCCACACUGGGACUGAGACACGGCCCAGACUCCUACGGGAGGCAGCAGUAGGGAAUCUUCGGCAAUGGACGAAAGUCUGACCGAGCAACGCCGCGUGAGUGAAGAAGGUUUUCGGAUCGUAAAGCUCUGUUGUAAGAGAAGAACGGGUGUGAGAGUGGAAAGUUCACACUGUGACGGUAUCUUACCAGAAAGGGACGGCUAACUACGUG